UAUGCACACUUCCGCACACGCGCGGUGGGGCGGGACCCGGUGUUCGCCUCUUCAGACCUGUGCAGCACUCAGUGCGGCGUGGGUUUCCUCCCUCGUUUCUGCGGGAGGACGCUGUAGCCUGGUAGUGGUGACGGAAAUGGGAGACAGGCGAUGAAAAGGUGGCAGGUCUCCUCUGUCUAAGAGCUGUAGAAAAAUGAUCAAUUUACAGGGAAGAACCUCUAGGAUUGUGCCUAUGAUGGUAAGGGCUUCUGCCAGAGCACAGCUCUCCACUGUCAUCAACGAAUCCACGCUGGAGAGAAGCUGUACCCACAGUGUGCCAGGUGUGGCAGGGCUUCUGUCAGAACACAGAACUCUGUGUGUGUUCAAAAGCCACACGAGGGAGGCUGUUUGAAGUGGAACUCCUGAAAUACAGACCUUCAUGCUCUUUGAGUGAAGCCAUUGGUUGGGGGAGAGUGGCAAGGACUUCAGCAGAGCUCUCACCCUAACAGUCUCAUGGAAGAAACUGAAGAGGCCCUGCGACGUGUGGAAAGGCUUUCAGCCAGAGCACAGGUCUCUGAGUUUAUCAAAGACUUUUCCCAAGAAAAACACUUACAAACCCUGCUUGAGGUGAAAUCUUCAAUUACUCAAGAAUCUUCUUGUCCAUGAGAGUCCACACAGGUGGAAGGACUGAGAAGUAAGUUCAAGUCUUCACAACAACCCACUUCCACACAGGAGGAAAACCCACAAGUAGGGAGACUGUGGUAAGAACAUGGAGCACGUAGUGUCCCCUCUGCCAGAAAGUCUGUGUCUCCCACAAACCUGUGCAUUCCACAAGAAUGAAGCUAUGUGUGCUUUUCUCACCUGCAUCCCCAGCUCCUAACAGUGACUGGCACAGAGUAGCCUCUUCUCAUUGCUCAAUGAGAACCCAUGAGUGAGAAAACCUCUGUUCAUGUGGUAUAUGUGGCAAGGGCUUCAGAGUCCACGCUGAAAUCUUCUCAAAACAUCUGUUAUGUAGUAAAGAUUCCAUCUGAUCACGGAUUUCAUCAUGAGUUGGUCCCUGCAGGACAGAAGUCCUGUUAACCUGAAGAAUUGAGCAAUGACCUUAAUCAAAGAUAUAUAUUCAAAUUAUUGAUCAGUGUUAUAACUUUAAAAUACCUCAUCUUCAACAUCAGGUAAUCCACAAUCCUCCAAACUGUCUAAAUUAUAAAAUGUUAGUCAAAACUCCUAAGUUAGAAAAUAUAACUAAUUACCAUCAAAGAAAAGAUCCUGUGAA